AACACAGUCAGAGGGGAGUAACUUAACUAUUCGGGUCGUUGAUGACAAUUGAUAAUCAACGCAUAAGAUCGAAUAGCGUCACUUUGUCGUCAUUACGAAGAUUAUUUCUUCCGGUAAAGUGGGCAAAUAUUAUCUGCUAAGUGAGACCUUUGCU
rnacentral:sRNA from 2 species